ACUCCCACAGAGGAGUGUCAAAGAGAGAAAAAAAACUCAAGUAGAGCGCUCAGCAGAGAACUUCUCUGUGUGGCCAAAUCAAGAGCAACAAACCAAAGGAGAAACAGACUUAAAGGGAGCAGGAAGGAGGACAGAAGAGCAGCCAAUGGGAUCUACUUUCUUCCUGUCAUCUCAAGGAGUAACAUCAGUACCUGAGGAGUUAUCCCUCCUAAUGCUAAUCUGUCAGCCUGACUGCUAAUCUCAGGAAGCAUCUGUGGACUUGUCCUCUGGAGGGACACGCUGCACGUUCCAACAACUAACAAAUACAAGCACUCAAGAGAAAAAUUCCACAUUUCUCCCCUGAAGGAGUUACCUGCCAUCUCCUCCUCUUCCUCCUCCUUCUCCACAUCACCAACAACAACCGGUUUGCUUACUCCUGUUUUGUAAGUUGUAUCUGUCAGUCUGGGCUGGACUCAGCGUGUGGAAACAACUAAAUCUCUCAGGAUGGAUGCCAGAGAGGAGACGAUGACCAUCCUGAAACAGAUCUGGUUCAAGCUAAACAGUCUGCCGAACGCCAACCCCAUCGAGCUGGGAGCUUUCUUCAUCCUCUUAACCUUUAUCUUGGUUGUUCUGCUCAUGGUGGUGCUGAGCUGCGUGACCUGCGGCUGCUGCUGCUGCUGCUGUCGGAAAACCAAGAAGAAAGGAUCCAACAUUUGAGCAGAGCUAUUUUCCCUGCAGCUCUAUCGGGCAAUCCUGCACUCCUACUGAGAGUUAUGGCUGAUUAACUAGGAUAUGUCAGACAUUUCAGUGAGCGAUGCCAGGUCAUUCAGGGAGUGUUCAGUGGCAUCGGUGGGGCCAAGCCCUUCAACAACAAACAGAGGAAAGUUGUCCUGACUCGCUGCCAAAAAUACAGAAUAAAUCAGUCAGGGUUUUCAGGAGGAUCUACAUUCCUCAAGGGAAUCCUCUGCAGGUGAUAUACAGGGUGACAACAAUGCCUUUGUUCUGAGAAAUAAAGAGGGCCAACCCAAAGUAUGACCUAUAAACAUGUGAAAAAAAAACUUACUAGUUGCACAUUGAGUAUAAAGAGGGAAAGCAAGUUGUUGUUUUGUUUUGUUUUUUUAAAUGUACCAUGUGUCUUUGAAAUGCUCAGAAAUUUGCACAAACUUGACAUCAAGCCUUCAAGCGAGCUCAAUGCCGCCCUCUGCUGUUAAAAACUAAAACUGCAGCAUGACUUCCUUUUU